rnacentral:rRNA from 1 species
AUUGAACGCUGGCGGCAGGCCUAACACAUGCAAGUCGAGCGGAUGAAGGGAGCUGGCUCCUGGAUUCAGCGGCGGACGGGUGAGUAAUGCCUAGGAAUCUGCCUGGUAGUUGGGGAUAACGUCCAGAAACGGGCGCUAAUACCGCAUACGUCCUGAGGGAGAGAGUGGGGGAUCUUCGGACCUCACGCUAUCAGAUGAGCCUAGGUCGGAUUAGCUAGUUGGUGGGGUAAAGGCCUACCAAGGCGACGAUCCGUAACUGGUCUGAGAGGAUGAUCAGUCAAAAUGGAAAUGAGACACGGUCCAGACUCCUAAGGGAGGCAGCAGUGGGGAAUAUUGGAGAAUGGGAGGAAGCUUGAUCCAGCCAUGCCGGGUGUGUGAAGAAGGUUUUCGGAUUGUAAAGCACUUUAAGUUGGGAGGAAGGGCAGUAAGUUAAUACCUUGCUGUUUUGAAGUUACCAACAGAAUAAGCACCGGCUAACUUCGUG